UCCCUGGUGGCUUAGAUGGUAAAGUGUCUGCCUACAGUGCUGGAGACCUGGGUUCGAUCCCUGGGUUGGGAA
rnacentral:tRNA from 1 species